UAGAAUUCUUCUCCCCUUUCCUCUCAUCCUCUUGCUUGUGUUGGGUGUGAUUCCAUUAGAGACACGACAAUUGUGGUGCUUGCUUCCAAAUGAUCAACAAGAAGGUUUCUUUGUUAUUUGCUACAAUAACAAUCAAGCGUAUUCCAGGCAUUGGGUGUAAAAACGUAAUGACUUAGAUACAAAGAAUGACAAUUGAGUGAUUUUUAUUUUUUAGAAGUGACAAAAUUAAGUUAAAGUUGUUUUAUAACACAUAAAAUAAGUUAUUGCUUUAUUAUAUGAUUAAGUUAAAGUUGUUCUAUAACACAUAAAUUAAAUACAAUAUGUAUAUGUUAUAGAUGGUAUCUUAAUGAGUGUA